AGUGAACGCUGGUGGUAGGCCUAACACAUGCGAGUCGAACGGCAGCACAGUAAGAGCUUGCUCUUACGGGUGGCGAGUGGCGGACGGGUGAGGAAUACAUCGGAAUCUACUUUUUCGUGGGGGAUAACGUAGGGAAACUUACGCUAAUACCGCAUACGACCUACGGGUGAAAGCAGGGGAUCUUCGGACCUUGCGCGAUUGAAUGAGCCGAUGUCGGAUUAGCUAGUUGGCGGGGUAAAGGCCCACCAAGGCGACGAUCCGUAGCUGGUCUGAGAGGAUGAUCAGCCACACUGGAACUGAGACUCGGUCCAGACUCCUACGGGAGGCAGCAGUGGGGAAUAUUGGACAAUGGGCGCAAGCCUGAUCCAGCCAUACCGCGUGGGUGAAGAAGGCCUUCGGGUUGUAAAGCCCUUUUGUUGGGAAAGAAAAGCAGCAGGUUAAUACCCCGCUGUUCUGACGGUACCCAAAGAAUAAGCACCGGCUAACUUCGUG
rnacentral:rRNA from 1 species